GACCAGGAAUAAGCCGGUCUCGGCCUGCUCUGCCUCGCCGUCGUCUCCGCUCGGCGCUCCGGCCGCCGCGGCACCACCGCCGCUGCCACGACCUUGCUCCGCUCACCGCGGCCGCCGUCGUCACCACCGCAGCGGCCUCGCUCUGAUCUGCAUUGCCAUGGAGCAGCUGCGCCUCUGCGACUGUCUCCCUCCCCCGCGCCACGUAUCUCUCUCUGCUUCGCUACCGGCACCUCGGGGGCGGCCUCGAUCCGCCACCGCCGGGCCGGCCUUGCUCCUGCUGCGCGCUGCCGCCGCCAAUCCGGCCUCAAUCCGCACAGCCUCCGCUCUCUUCCUAGGGAUUAUGUGCAUAGGUGGCACCACCGCCGUCGUUGCCGGAAUUGCAACCGUCGUCAUCCCUGGUCUCUAUCCGCACCAGCACGACGAGUGAAUUAAUUACGGCAACAAGCUCCUGCGGCCUAGGCAGCAAUGAAAUCUUCAAUUCAUCGGGAAUUUUUGCGGCUAGAACGGCUAAUUGCCUCGUACGACCACGAUCUGGAGUAGGCAAGAUUGAAGAAUAACAAAAGGAGUUUUACCAAGCCAGGGAAAAUGCAGAAGGAACAAUAGGAGAGAAAGAAUGUAUCUGAAGCAAACUAGCUUAGAAACACCAAAUAUGACUCAAGGUCCCCAAGAGGGGCUAGGGGUGCUCCUAGGCGAGGGAAAUGGAAGCACUGGAUUUAAUCAGCUAGAGACAUGAACAUGGACCAUUAUGCGGAAACAUGAGUUCACUUGCUUUCUGUAGUGCCACAUCAGGGGCCUCCUGUUUUCACUCAAAAAAGAUGUGAUGACCCAGAGCUGCAUUUCUUUCAACCAAUCAAGCUUUCGGCGCAAGUUCCAUGGUUUAAGUAUGCCAACAGACCCAUCUGAUUCGUCCUGAGUCAUGCUCCCUGUCUCAGGGUCUUCUUUCUAAAGCACCAUCUCAAGGUUUCUUUGGCUCUAAAAGAUUGGAUCCAGUUGAGUUGGAGGGGGACAUGAAGCUUUGGUGCUGUUAAGUUUUUGGUGUAAUCAUGGCCUACACGUCCUCCUCUUUCUGCUGCCACCCUGACUUCCACAGGGGCCUUCUUGUGCUGCUCCCUUAGCACAGGGUGGAAGUGGUUCUCCACCUAACACUUUUUUCCUUAGAAAAUCUGUGUAUGAUUGCUAUGAACAGCUCUAAUUCUUUCAUGCAGUUGUUGACUGGUUGUAAAUUCUGACCUUAGUGCUCCUUGCUGUAACCUUUGCUCAUCCAGCUCCAAGUAAAAAUAGCUUGGUAUGGUAUGACUAGGAUUUUAAAAUUUUCUUAUGAAUUGAUUAGCUGGUGAGGUGGUCAUCUCAUCUACUGCUUUGAGUUA